UUCUGACCGUAAACGAUGCCAACUAGCGAUCCGCCGGUGGAUUUUUAGCCCUGGUGGGUAGCUUCCCGGAAACGAAAGUCUUCCGGUUCCGGGGGAAGUAUGGUUGCAAAGCUGAAACUUAAAGGAAUUGACGGAAGGGCACCACCAGGAGUGGAGCCUGCGGCUUAAUUUGACUCAACACGGGGAAACUCACCCGGCCCGGACACCGUAAGGAUUGACAGAUUGAUAGCUCUUUCAUGAUUCGGUGGUUGGUGGUGCAUGGCCGUUCUUAGUUCGUGGAUCGAUUUGUCUGGUUUAUUCCGAUAACGAGCGAGACUCUAGCCUACUAAAUAGUAGCGGGAUUGUUUCUGACUUGUCCUAGUUGCUUCUUAGAGGGAUUUUCGGUGUUUAGCCGCACGAGAUUGAGCAAUAACAGGUCUGUGAUGCCCUUAGAUGUCCGGGGCUGCACGCGCGCUACACUGGCGAAAUCAGCGUGCUUUAACCAUUCUCGAAAGGGAUUGGUAAACCCAUGAAAAUUUGCCGUGCUUGGGAUCGGAAAUUGCAAUUAUUUUCCGUGAACGAGGAAUUCCAAGUAAGUGCGAGUCAUCAACUCGCUCUG
rnacentral:rRNA from 1 species